UGCGCAGUGUGUAAUGAUAAAAUGUAUUGCGUUUUGUGUCGUGUGAUCGUGUUCCGUUAUGAGGGGGUCAGCAAUGGGGCUUUGUUCCGAUAGGUUUGCGUCUUGAGGAUGCACUGGUUAAUCUUAGCGAUGUACCACGAAUCCGACAGCGUAGGCUGAUGCGGGGAAUCGCUUUUGUUGUUGUCACCUUGCAUACCUGGACAAGUGUACGCGGUGAGGCAGGGCUUUUGUAUGAGUUUACCAUUUUUCCGUUUGUUGUCGGUUGCUAAUAUCAAUUUGACAAAUAAAUGUUAGUUUAAGCCGCUAAAGACAAGUUUAUUUAAAUUUAAAUUGAAACCUUGCAGUUUUUUCACUUAGAUUUAUUGACCUUAAAAACUCGCUUUAAUAUAUUUUGUCUUGCAUUGUGGAUCUAAGACAAAAAUUGCACCUUUUUCAAUUAGAUUUAUUUACCUUAAAAACUCGCUUAAAUAUAUUUUGUCUUGCAUUGUGGAUCUAAGACACAAAUUGGAGCUUUUAUUGCAUUGUAUGUCUUUGAUCCCGCGAUACUCUUUUCCCUAACUGAUUGAGUUAAAAUUUAUUAUCUUAAUAAUUUAGGACACUUUUGAAUGUUCUCUCUUUUUUAUAUUUUAUAUAUUUUUUAUGUUCUCUAAACACAACAUUAUUAACCAAUCACCUUACACUUUCAUCCUCCAAUCAAUUAAGAUAUUUUUUGACCAAUAGCGUUAUUAUUUACUGAGGCUUCGCUUGAGGGAUAUUUUGAUUAACCGCAAAUUUACGUCAUACAACAUCUGUGUAUAAUAUCACAAUUUACAUGCGCUCUAUAAACUGCUCAUUGGCAUUGCGCAAAAUAUCCUUCAAGACUUAUUCUUAUUCAAUAUCAAAUUAUGGUAAGUCUUUUAUCUUAAUUGUUUUUUAUUUUGUUGUGUGUUUGUUUGCCUUCAAUUUGUACUUGAGUAUUUAGGAAUAAUUUAACUUAUAAGUUUUUUGUAUUCUAAUGUUACUUCUUGCGCAACGUGUUUUAAUAAUUUUCUAAAAAGUAUAUCAGCGUAAUUUGUUUAAAAUGGAUCAAGUUAGGGUAUUUGGCUGAGCAGUAGUAUGUCCUCUCAAAUGUUGCAACAUAAGAAGGCUUUGACACAGACGUAGAGGUGGGUUUUAUUUGCUUGUUUUGAGGAUGUUACCCCGACGGGAGUUUCUAGAAAUGAGCAUUAAAACAUUCGAAACGUCAAAUACCAGAGUAUUAUCUUUAUAAGGAUCAAUACAAUGUCCACUUCCUGACGAGAAUCUGAUUAUUUUCCGUAAACCUGAUGGCGAAUAUGAACAUUAAAGGGAGUAAACGUAAAGGCAGAGAAAACAAAAUAUCGUUUGAAAACUUUAAGUUAAAGGACGUUAUGUUUGAAGCGUUACAAGACAGGUAUACCGUUAGUGAAAAAGAAUUAUUUAGAGUUGUCGGGAAUAAACUAAAGAAUGCACCAGAAAGAUUGAACCAUUCCAUUGAUAUCUAACAUUUAUAUUAUAUUAUAUGUAUAUAGUUUAUGUUAUAGUAUAUAGUUACUUUUUUUAAAUAAAUAAACAAUAAUAUUAUACAAUUCAAAAUGUUUUAAUGUUCUUUUAAGCUUGGUUUCCAAUAGUUGUAGAAAUGUUGUACAACAGUUCUGUAACAACUUUGUUUUAUAAUGGAAACGUUGUCUAGCAUAGUUGCACAAAUUAACGUCGGUUGUACAACACAAUUUUUGUGGUAAAACAAUGGCUGCGAAGAUAGAAAUUAAUCUAUUUCCGCAAUAAUUAUACAACGGUAGAUAAUACAACAAUCUACUCUUCAUUUUGCGAACAUGUAUUACAGAUUUGACAUCUAUAAAUAAACAGAUUUGCAUUUAAUACAGAAAUUAUAGAAACCUAAUAAUUUUAAAUACGUCUUAUAUACGUCUAUUAUCAACGCAUUUUAUUUAUCUAAUUAAUACGAAUUAUAGAUUUGCAUUUAAUACUUAAAUUAUAGAUAUCUGAGACGUAUUUUAAAUACGUAUAUUAUACGUCUAUUACCAACGCAUUGUAAUCAUCUAAUUAAUACGUAUUAUAGAUUUGCAUUUAAGAAUUAGAAUAUA